CGGCAUAUGGAAGUUCCCAGGCUAGGGACUGAAUCAGAGCUACAGCUGCUGGCCUACACCACAGCCACAGCAACGUGGGGCCUGAGCCUCAUCUGCGAUCUACACCACAGCUCACAGCAGUGCCAGACCCUUAACCCACUGAGCAAGGCCAGGGAUGGAACCCACGUCCUCAUGGAUUCUAGUCAGGUUCAUUAACCACUGAGCCACAAAGGGAACUCCUAAAUAGUUUUUUAUUUGGGAUCUUGCAAUCUGAAUUGUUUAACGAGUUGAUUUUUCACUUACAGUAUUGGGUGUCUUCACUCCCUAUGUCUGGAUUUACUCUUCCUCGGAUGGUGUAGGCACCCAGGCUGCAAUUCAGCCCCUUGGCCAGAGACAAACCAUGAUCUCCAACAACAUGUGAAGAGAUCAUCCCAAAUUCUCACCUUGUUGAAACACUCCCUUAGUGAAACUUUUCUUAACUUCACCCACACUCCUCUCUUAUCACUGUUUUCCACGUGUCUCAGUUUCCGACAAGACCUUUGUCUUCUGCCCUUAAACUGCUAAACAUUGUCAGCACUUUUCCAGGACACCAAGUGCCUAUUUCCUGCUUCAUGGUCUACUUCUUCUCUUGCAUCUAUAUACCACCUCCCCUUCAAACUUAUGAUUCUUAAAACUAACCUUAUUUUCUUAAAAAAAAAAUUUAUUUCAUUGUUUAUCCAACUAUAGUUAAUGGUAUCACCAUCACACACCCAGCCAUCUAAGCCAUUUAAUAACUUUUUUCUCUCAUUCUCAAAGUAAUUUACAGUGUAUGAAACUGAACUUUUCAAAAUUUUUCAUACCUCAGAACCCAUCUUUCAAAUUUAUUAUUACUCCUAUAGUUCCUAUCUCAACCACUGGUACUAGAAUCCACCUGGUUUCUCCAACAAAUUUCUUCAAUUUCUAUCUUCACUUCUUUCUCCAAACAUGGACUUCCUAUUACUGUGACCGCCUUCUUACUUAUUUUAUCUCCUCUGCUAUGCUUUGUCUGGGAUGAUUACACUUCUCUGAAUGUGCUAUUGCAAUGGCCUCUUGCUGUAGGUUGAAUUGUUUUUCCCAAAAAUGUAUGUCCACCUGGAAUCUUAGGAUUUGCCUUUAUUUGGAAGUAAGGCUUUGCAAAUGUACUUAAAGUAAGAAUCAAGAUGAGGCCAUUCUAAAUUAGAGUCUGAGUGUCCUGUAAGAGAGAAAAAGAGAGAGACAUAUACAGGGAAGAAAACCAUGUGGAGAUGGAGGAAGAGAUCAGAGUGAUGCUGCCAGAAGCCAAGGAAUGCCAGGAGCCGGCAAAAGCUGCAGGAGACAGAGAAGAUUCUCCCCUACAGGCCUCAGAGGGAGUGUAGCCUGUUGAUACAUUUAUUAAAUUCCUUACGCCAUAAAGUUUGGGGUAAUUUGUUAUGACAGCUCUAGGAAACUAAUAUGACUCCCAAUUAGUUUUCUCCAUAUAUCUGCCAGAACCAUCAGAUCACACUAUUUCUGUGAUUGUUUUUCAGUAAAAUACAAGCAAAGUUCUUCCUAAUCUGACUCCUCUUCCGGUUCUUACUCUCCUGUACUCUUUAUACUCCUGACCACCUGUGACCCCUGAACACAAGUUUUGUUCAUAUCUAAGUGCCCUUCUGAAUUCUAUCUCUCUUGCCAGGUUUUCUUCUUCAUACUGUUAGUCAUCUAUCAUAACUUAACCUGGGUAUAACCUCCGCUGUACGGUCUCUCUUGACUCUGUCAAGUUCAUGUUUGUCCAUUUUUUUAUUAUAUGUAUCAUGCAUCAUAAUCAUUUAUAUUCUCUCAUUCAUCUUUAUAGUCCAAUACAAAGUAGGUACUCAAUAUACACUGUUGAAAGAAUUCCUUCUCCCCUAGAAAUUGCACAUAAUUAAAUAUAUAUAUACAUUUUAAUUCAAAAAAACAAUUUUGAGUUUUUCCUCCUAAUUUGCCCCCCAAUCUUGCUAAGUUUUAAGAGUUCAACUCUCUUUCUCUUAAAUGGCUUUCCUGCCUCCAUAGGCCUGUUUUAAAUUUUAUUUCUUCUCCUACUAUUAAUAGGACCUUUCUUCACUCUCCAUCAUGAAUGCUGUGCUCUAAUCUCCUUAGAUUUUGUACAAAUCCUUAAAUUCCUCUCAUUUAUGUCUGGGUCUUCACAUCUUUGUUCUAGCGCUCCACUCCCAGUGAAACUGUCUUCUUCCUCCAUGGGGCUCAGGUGUCUCCUCUUUGAGAUUCUUCUCAGACCCUGGAGCGGGCAUAAGGGAGUCCAUUACUCUUUCUCCCAUCUUCCCACAGAUCUCUGUCCCAACCUUUUCAUUAAAUCACAGCACAGUGUUGCAUGGUUGGUCUGUCUCUCUAGUCUCGAACUUUUCCCACCCAGAUUAUGGAAAUUUGGGACCUUUUCUGUAGUCUGACUUCUAGCAAAUAAUAGGUGCUCAGUAGGUAUUGUUUCAGGGUUGGCUAAUCCUUCUUCUCUGAUAAGGAUUUUGCUAAUUUGUUUUCAACCAUAAUAUAUAAAUGUACAAACACAUACAAGUGUACAAUUGUGAUGGUUUACUUUAUGUGUCAACUUGGCUAUGUCACAGUGCCUAGCUAGACGUCUCUGAAUAUAUUUAAAGAUGAGAUUCAUGUUUAAACUAGCAAACUUUGAAGAAGAUUUUCCUUCAUACUGUGGGUGGACCACAUUCAAUCAGUAGAGGGUCUUGAGAGGAAAAAUACUGAGCUUGCCUGAGGAAGAGGAAAUUCUGCCAGAAAAUGACCUUCAGACACAAACUGUAACUCCUCCCUGGAUCCUCAGCCUGCUGACCUACUCUGAAGAUUUUGGACUUGGCAGCCUCCACAGUCUCAUAAGUCAAUUCCUAAAAUAAUUCUCUAACUGCACAUCCUAUUGGUUGUAUUUUUCUGAGGAACCCUGAUGCAUAAAGUAGCCAAGACAUACUUCCUUUCACCUGAAACAUUUCAUUUGUUCUCUCUCCACACAAAAGUUUCUAAAAAUAUAGUAACACAAAAGGAGUUACAGAUAAACUCCAUUAGCUUAGAUUUGUAAAUAUUUAUUUGUGAAGAUGUGUUUGUGAUCCAGCAGCCCUAAAGUCACCCUGAACUUGAGUUGGAAUCCUGGCUCUAGUAGCUGGACGACCAUGGUCAAGCCUUUUAGUUUUCUGCGACUUCAUUUUAGAAUGAGGUCAAACUACCUACCUUAUGUGAUUGCUGGUGUAAGGAUUACAUGAUUUACAAUGAAAACAUGUAAAAUGCUUAAAACAGUGCUUGACAAAUAGUAAGUGCUCCAUGAAUGUUAACUGUCAUGUUUAUAAAGCCUGCUCUGUCUGCCUAAUUGCUUCAAUUUACUCAUUUCCUUGUUAAUUUACCAAUGAGAAAAACUGGAAUUAUGUUUCUGUGUGGCUCCUCCAGUCUAGAAAUUAAUAUAUAAUAAUGUACUCAUUAUUAUAAAAUUCAAUGAUUAAAUUUUUUUUAUUUUGGAUGGCUUAUGUUUCUUGAUGUAGUGACUGUGUAUUCCUAGGGUGAUUUUUUUGUUUGCUUAUUGUUUUUAAAAAAAACUGUCUACUUUGAUUCUACGGUAUAGGAAAUGUGAAAAGUUCACAUAUAUACUUAAAAAUGAAAGAUAUUUUCAUUACUAAGGCCAUAAUCAAGAUGGAAGGCAUUAAUUAAGUAAUUACUUAAGGGAAUAAAAAUGUGUUUUUGAGUAUGCUAACUAGUCUUCCUUACAGAGAGCAAGCUAGUGUUCUGUCUUAAGCUAUAACAUAUGCAUACACAUAGGUAAUUAGAGCCAAUGCUGGAUUUUCCUUACUUAUGAAAGAAAAUAGUGAUUUAAAACAAUUCAAAAUAAAUUUUGUCUGGCUUGGAAUUGGACCACAUGAUUUAGGGGUAAUUAGUGAAUUUAUUAUGGAAUCUGUAUGUAUGUUUUAAACCUUAAUCUAGAACAAGAGAAAAAUCAAUCUUUAUUUCUUAGCACAGUCCUGCUUAUUAUUUAAGAAACUAUUUCAGAAUUGUGUUAAUAAGAGUAGAGUCAAUCAGGAAGAAAGGAAAGAGAAAGUGUGUGUGUCUGUGUGUGUGUUUCACACACCAAUCCCAUAAGACAUUGCUGUCUCCUCAUUAUUUUCUGUUUUCCACUGAUGGAAUUGAAUUCCUCUUGCUCUUUCUUGAUAAAGCAUCAUGUCCCGAAGGACAUAUACUAAAUGUUGAAAGAAAACAUUCUUUUUUUCCCCUCUGAGUGUGUGAGAGAUUGAUGAUGAAGACACUUUCCUUCUCCUCUCAUACAGUUCCCUCUUUAGAUCAUUACUAGUAAUUUGACAAUCAAAUGCACUUGAAAGAUGUAGAUGAAACAAUCUUCAUUCUUUUUAUCAGUGGCAAGUGGAUCAAGAAACAUACACAGAUUUCACUGAAAUAUAUGAAUAACUGUAUAAAAGACCUACAAACAAAUGAUAAACUGAGAAUAAAGCAAUAGCAACUAAAAGGGCCUCUGUUCCUGAAGUCACUUAAGUCAUUUCCUGUCUUCCAAUCAGGCUUCAUUAAAUCAAUACAGAUUGAUGAGUGUUUUUGUUUUGACCUUGCAUUAAACAUCUGCUUUUUUUUUUUUUUUGGACUUCUGAUAGGACAACCUCACUAUAGUCUCAUGAAAGUGGAAUUGUUAAAGCAUUUUGCAGAAGGAAAAAAAUUCACUCUACAAAAAAUAAUUGUUUUUGAAGAGUUUUGCUUUUUUUUUUUUUUUUUUAAAUUUA
rnacentral:lncRNA from 1 species